rnacentral:rRNA from 1 species
GACGAACGCUGGCGGCGUGCUUAACACAUGCAAGUCGAACGGAAAGGCCCUGCUUUUGUGGGGUGCUCGAGUGGCGAACGGGUGAGUAACACGUGAGUAACCUGCCCUUGACUUUGGGAUAACUUCAGGAAACUGGGGCUAAUACCGGAUAGGAGCUCCUGCUGCAUGGUGGGGGUUGGAAAGUUUCGGCGGUUGGGGAUGGACUCGCGGCUUAUCAGCUUGUUGGUGGGGUAGUGGCUUACCAAGGCUUUGACGGGUAGCCGGCCUGAGAGGGUGACCGGCCACAUUGGGACUGAGAUACGGCCCAGAAUCCUACGGGAGGCAGCAGUGGGGAAUAUGGCAGAAUGGGCGGAAGCCUGAUGCAGAAACGCCGCGUGCGGGAUGACGGCCUUCGGGUUGUAAACCGCUUUCGCCUGUGACGAAGAGUGAGUGACGGUAAUGGGUAAAGAAGCACCGGCUAACUACGUG